AGAGUUUGAUCCUGGCUCAGGAUGAACGCUAGCUACAGGCUUAACACAUGCAAGUCGAGGGGAAACGAUAUUGGAAGCUUGCUUCCGAUAGGCGUCGACCGGCGCACGGGUGAGUAACGCGUAUCCAACCUGCCCACCACUUGGGGAUAACCUUGCGAAAGUAAGACUAAUACCCAAUGAUAUCUCUAGAAGACAUCUGAAAGAGAUUAAAGAUUUAUCGGUGAUGGAUGGGGAUGCGUCUGAUUAGUUUGUUGGCGGGGUAACGGCCCACCAAGGCAACGAUCAGUAGGGGUUCUGAGAGGAAGGUCCCCCACAUUGGAACUGAGACACGGUCCAAACUCCUACGGGAGGCAGCAGUGAGGAAUAUUGGUCAAUGGACGAGAGUCUGAACCAGCCAAGUAGCGUGCAGGAAGACGGCCCUAUGGGUUGUAAACUGCUUUUAUAAGGGAAUAAAGUGAGAGUCGUGACUCUUUUUGCAUGUACCUUAUGAAUAAGGACCGGCUAAUUCCGUGCCAGCAGCCGCGGUAAUACGGAAGGUCCGGGCGUUAUCCGGAUUUAUUGGGUUUAAAGGGAGCGUAGGCCGGAGAUUAAGCGUGUUGUGAAAUGUAGACGCUCAACGUCUGCACUGCAGCGCGAACUGGUUUCCUUGAGUACGCACAAAGUGGGCGGAAUUCGUGGUGUAGCGGUGUAAUGCUUAGAUAUCACGAAGAACUCCGAUUGCGAAGGCAGCUCACUGGAGCGCAACUGACGCUGAAGCUCGAAAGUGCGGGUAUCGAACAGGAUUAGAUACCCUGGUAGUCCGCACGGUAAACGAUGGAUGCCCGCUGUUGGUCUGAAUAGGUCAGCGGCCAAGCGAAAGCAUUAAGCAUCCCACCUGGGGAGUACGUUCGCAAGAAUGAAACUCAAAGGAAUUGACGGGGACCCGCACAAGCGGUGGAGCAUGUGGUUUAAUUCGAAGCAACGCGAAGAACCUUACCUGGUCUUGACAUCCCUAUGAAUAACGGGCAAUGCCGUUAGUACUUCGGUACAUAGGAGACAGGUGGUGCAUGGUUGUCGUCAGCUCGUGUCGUGAGAUGUUGGGUUAAGUCCCGCAACGAGCGCAACCCUUAUCUUUAGUAGCCAGCAGUAAGAUGGGCACUCUAGAGAGACUGCCGGGGAUAACCCGGAGGAAGGUGGGGAUGACGUCAAAUCAUCAUGCCCCUUAUGACCAGGGCUACACACGUGCUACAAUGGCGUAAACAAAGAGAAGCGAAGUCGUGAGGCAGAGCGAAUCUCAAAAAUAACGUCUCAGUUCGGAUUGUAGUCUGCAACUCGACUACAUGAAGCUGGAAUCGCUAGUAAUCGCAGAUCAGAAUGCUGCGGUGAAUACGUUCCCGGGUCUUGUACACACCGCCCGUCACACCAUGGGAGUCGGAAAUGCCCGAAGUCGGUGACCUAACCGAAAGGAAGGAGCCGCCGAAGGCAGGUCUGAUAACUGGGGUGAAGUCGUAACAAGGUA
rnacentral:rRNA from 1 species